rnacentral:rRNA from 1 species
UACGUAGGGGGCUAGCGUUAUCCGGAAUUACUGGGCGUAAAGGGUGCGUAGGCGGUCUUUCAAGCCAGAAGUGAAAGGCUACGGCUCAACCGUAGUAAGCUUUUGGAACUGUAAGACUUGAGUGCAGGAGAGGAGAGUGGAAUUCCUAGUGUAGCGGUGAAAUACGUAGAUAUUAGGAGGAACACCAGUAGCGAAGGCGGCUCUCUGGACUGUAACUGACGCUGAGGCACGAAAGCGUGGGGAGCAAACAGGAUUAGAUACCCCGGUAGUCCCUGAGCGGG